rnacentral:lncRNA from 1 species
GCAGAGACGCUCUCUAGAUUAUUGAAUUGAUUUGAUCUUUUGAUCCUAUUCUCAAGAGAAUCAAACACAUCUGUAGAAGGAACUUGAAAUCAGAUCAAAUCUGAUUUCUUUACCUAUUUUCCUCUUCUCAAGAAAAAAUCCAAGAUCUACAGAAGAAAAUAAGAGAUCAAAUAUCUUGAUUUUUCUUCUUAUCCAACUUUUGAACUAGAUUUGAGGAGAAGAAGAGGAGAACCGUCCAUCUCAUGGAUCAAG